CAUUACCGAGAUAGGGUCCUUUUUGGGGACCCGACUUUCCUACCCUUUGUGUACAUAUCUCUGUUGCUUCGGCGGUUCUCCGCGGCAUACGGCGCUGCUUGGCACGUCGAGUCUCGGCCCGCCAGAGGCCCUUUUAAUUCUUGUUUAUUAGUGACGUCUGAGCAUACUUGCAAAAAUUAAUUAAAACUUUCAACAACGGAUCUCUUGGUUCUGGCAUCGAUGAAGAACGCAGCGAAAUGCGAUAAGUAAUGUGAAUUGCAGAAUUCAGUGAAUCAUCGAAUCUUUGAACGCACAUUGCGCCCUCUGGUAUUCCGGGGGGCAUGCCUGUUCGAGCGUCAUUACACCUCUCAAGCUUCGCUUGGUAUUGGGCUUUCGUCCCCUGUGGACGGGCCUGAAAAUCAGUGGCGGUGCAGCCGGUGCUCAAGCGUAAUAACAUUAUAUCUCGCUUUGGAGUGACCGGGUGGACCCGCCAGAUAA
rnacentral:rRNA from 1 species